AGAGUUUGAUCAUGGCUCAGAACGAACGCUGGCGGCAGGCCUAACACAUGCAAGUCUAACGAAGGCCCGGAGCUUGCUCCGGUGUCCUUAGUGGCAGACGGGAUAGUAACGCGUGGGAAUUUGCCCAAUAGUACGGAAUAACUGCGGGAAACUGCAGCUAAUACCGUAUACGCCCUCCGGGGGAAAGAUUUAUCGCUAUUGGAUAAGCCCGCGUCCGAAUUAGCUUGUUGGUGAGGUAAUGGCUCACCAAGGCGACGAUUC
rnacentral:rRNA from 1 species